rnacentral:rRNA from 1 species
GACGGUAUCUUUGGAUACGUGGCGAACGGGUGAGUAACACGUAGGGAACCUGGCCAUACCUGGGGGAUAAUUUCUGGAAACGGAAACUAAUACCGCAUGGGUUUUGCUUAAGCCUUUAAGCGAAAUGAAAGAAGCGCGAGACGCUUCGGGGAUGGAUGGUCCUGCGCUGCAUUAGCUGGCUGGUGAGGCAACGGCUCACCAGGGCGAUGAUGCAUAGCCGGCCUGAGAGGGCGGACGGCCACACUGGGACUGAGACACGGCCCAGACUCCUGCGGGAGGCAGCAGUAGGGAAUUUUCGUCAAUGGGGGCAACCCUGAACGAGCAAUGCCGCGUGAGCGAAGAAGGUCUUCGGAUUGUAAAGCUCUGUUGCCGGGGAAAAAGGAAGGAAAGAGGAAAUGCUUUUCUUUGGAUGGUACCCGGCCAGAAAGUCACGGCUAACUACGUGCCAGCAGCCGCGGUAAUACGUAGGUGGCAAGCGUUAUCCGGAAUGAUUGGGCGUAAAGGGUGAGCAGGCGGUUCUUCAAGUCAUGAGUGAAAGGCAGAAGCUUAACUUCUGUUGGCUGAUGAGACUGGAGAACUUGAGUACAGGAGAGGGCGGCGGAACUCCAUGUGUAGCGGUAAAAUGCGUAGAGAUAUGGAAGAACACCAGUGGCGAAGGCGGCCGCCUGGACUGAAACUGACGCUCAGGCACGAAAGCGUGGGGAGCAAAUAGGAUUAGAUACCCUAGUAGUCCACGCCGUAAACGAUGA